AUUGAACGCUGGCGGCAGGCCUAACACAUGCAAGUCGAGCGGGGACUUCGGUCCUAGCGGCGAACGGGUGAGUAAUGCUUGGGAAUCUGCCCAGUAGUGGGGGAUAACGUCCCGAAAGGGACGCUAAUACCGCAUACGUCCUACGGGGGAAAGAGGGGGAUCUUCGGACCUCUCGCUAUUGGAUGAGCCCAAGUCGGAUUAGCUAGUUGGUAGGGUAAUGGCCUACCAAGGCGACGAUCCGUAGCUGGUCUGAGAGGAUGAUCAGCCACACUGGAACUGAGACACGGUCCAGACUCCUACGGGAGGCAGCAGUGGGGAAUAGUGGACAAUGGGCGAAAGCCUGAUCCAGCCAUGCCGCGUGUGUGAAGAAGGCCUUCGGGUUGUAAAGCACUUUAAGCGGGGAGGAAGGUUCGCGGCCUAAUACGUCGCGGAAUUGACGUUACCCGCAGAAUAAGCACCGGCUAACUCUGUG
rnacentral:rRNA from 1 species